rnacentral:lncRNA from 1 species
AGUCAGUGCCAUUUUUUUUCUUUCUUUUUUUUUUUUAAAUUAGGUAUUUUCCUCGUUUACAUUUCCAAUGCUAUCACAAAAGUCCCCCAUACCCACCCCCCCAAUCCCCUACCCACCCACUCCCCCUUUUUGGCCCUGGCGUUCCCCUGUACUGGGGCAUAUAAAGUUUGCAAGUCCAAAGGGCCUCUCUUUCCAGUGAUGGCUGACUAGGCCAUCUUUUGAUACAUAUGCAGCUAUAGACAAGACAUUUUCUAGAGAAACAGUGGGAAGGAAAAGACAACUAACUUGGAGGGGAGAGUGGUUUGCAUAGUCCUUGAUGCUUUGUUGACAGGCUAGCUGCGCACUUCACACUUCAUAAAGAAGGCAGGAAGCCAAUUAUCAGCCCAUUAGCAGCCACUUUCCAUGAGGCUGCCCAUCAGCCCUCACCAGGGCCUGGCCAGGAGCAUACAGAACUCACUCCCUCCUGUCCCUCCCCUCUCCCCUCUUUUUUUUUUUUCCAUAAGAAAGUGUGAAUCCUAAUUGCUCUAGUCUUAAUGUAUAGGGUGGGUGUGUGAAAUAAGAAGGGGAGGCCUCCUGGAAUGUAUGCAGUUCAAAGUAUGCAUCAAUGGCACAGUCUUGAGAGUUCAAGCAGGGAGAACUGAACCCUUGGGUGCUCAGGGAAGAUGCUCAGAGGAUGCUGGGAUGGAGCUUGACUUUGAAGAUAAGGAAGAACGGUACUUCCCCAUAGGGUUGCUACGAGAAACAGUCUCUUCCUGGUAUCUAUCUGCCCGUCCUUUCUCCCAUUUGUCCCCAACCCCCACCCUACCAGGAGAAAGUACUGCCUAGAUUAUAGGACUAUCAAGAUGUUACCUUUCCAGCAGCUAGAAGGUUAGUUACAGAGUUUUCAGGCUCUGGUAAUGUUGAUAUUUUGUCUCAGAGAAUUGGGUCUUUAGUAACAUCUCUGUCCUCUACCACACUGAAUACCACCACCAUGGUGCUAGCCAGGACUUCCAAAAACCUCUCUAGACACCGGCAGGCACUUUUUGGUGGAAAUUAAGAUAAAGAGCCAUGUUCCAGUCUCAAGAGGUCUCAAGAGGUCUCCUGUGUUUUUGAGGCUAUAGCUAAACUCUGAAGCAUCCUGAUGAUGAGAGAGCAUGUGGCAAAGAGGAGGCUGAUGGUUUUUGUGUGUCCCGUGUCAUUGGGAAGAUGUGAAUCUUCGCUAUAAUGUUUGCAGAGCACUUCUUCCCUCUGACUAGAG